CAGAGCACAUGGAAGGGAUAUGGAGGGGGCAGUAGGUACUGACAGCAUCUGUCACACACCCGUAUGAUACCACACUCGUCACACUUGUAGUACCCAGUGAUAAAGAUAAUUUAUUGUGACAGAAAAGUAACUCUGAGUUCCAAAAUGGUCUUGAAAUAAAUGUGCAUCUAAUUCCAUCACCAUUUACAUACAUUGGAAAACCAGACAUGCCAAUGUGUUUGCAAGAAAUAUUCAUUUAGAUUCACAGAGCUCUUGGUCUAAACCCAGGAUCUUGGUGGGAGAGGGAGGCGGGGGUCUUUGGCCUCUGGGAUUCAUUGUAUCAACCACUAGCAAUCUUUGGAAUGGGCCAGCUGCUCUCUAGGCCAGAGCUGUUAGGGCUGGAGCCGGGGAGCCCAUUUGGACGGUUGAAGAACUCUGUAAAACUAUCUUAUGCACCUGCAGGUAAAGUCACAUUUUGGGGUUAUCAAAGUCUAAAUGAAAUGGUACACGGUAUAAUUAAUGCUGGAUUGGGAAGGAGAAAACUUGCUCAUUAUAUACCCACUGCUGUCAUUAUUGUGACAGAACGAUCUUCCACUGGCCCCACCAGAGGCCACCUCUGCAAAGGCCACGGCUACCAUCCUCACCCACAGUUGCUGCCUCACUCGUGGGUUCUUUCAUGUGGCUGUGUGAACAACAUAGGUGACCUCCCCUGUGCUCUCUCUAAGCCACUGUAAAAACCUGAUUCCUCAGUGCAUGGGAAGUUCCCGUGGCCCUGCCUGUUCUCGGAUGUGGCGUUGACCCGAAGGGCACCGAUGUUCUGCUCAAGCGCAGAAGGGCUGAGUUUUGCAGCGUCAGGAAAUACAUUUGUGCAGUGACUAUAAGAUCCCCCUGACAUCUUGGUUUGUGGGAAAGGCAGGUUUUCUUUUUUCUGUAACUUAAAUUUAGCUCUCAAGACCCCGUUUUUGCUGGUGGUGGGACAUACCUGUAUUAAUCUUGCCAAGUCAAGGUAAACUCCAGUUAUUUGUCAUUUAAAGCAUAACACCUUUGAAGUAACUCUUUAGAUAAUUCAUCAUUCUCAGAUCAAUUCCAGGAGCUUCCCCUCCGUGUCUGCCCACUCGGGUCACCCCCUUUCUUGGCAUUGGUGAUGGCACCCCCUCCAGAAAAAUGCCACCCUUGUUCUGGCAGGAUCUGACUUCCAAUCCUCCCACAGCUUAUGUCCCCUUGUCCCUCAGUUCAGGGACCCCAUGGCUGGCAUUCUCAAUACUUCCCUGCUAGGCACCUGGAAAUACUCACUCUUCGCCCAUAUCCCACUGGGCUAAGGCCAUCUAAGACCUCAUUGAGGGCUGGGUGCAUGAUUCACCUUCUCUCCUGUCCUCCCCCAAUUCCUGGGGUCUUCAGUGUUUUGUUUUAAUAAGGAGCCCAUUUUCUCACUCCGGCUUUGUGGAACAAACCAUGAGGAGCAACCAUGAGACCCCAGGAGGGACUCCACAGUCUGACUGUGUACACAUGGGGACCAUAUGCACGACUUAGAUCCAUCCUUCACCCAAUGAGAUUCAAUUUAGAAACAGCUCAGAUAUCUCCUCCCUAACAAGUUUAGCCUUCUGAUUGUCCUGUCAAAAGAGAACAGUGUCCUGGUGCCUACUUGAUCUGUCAAAAAAUAUUUUUCUGGCCAGGCACAGUGGUUCAUGCCUGGAAUCCCAGCACUUCGGGAGACUGAGGCAGGCGAGUCACUUGAGGUCAGUUCGAGACCAGCCUGGCCAACUUGGUGAAACCCCGUCUCUACCAAAAAUACAAAAAUUAGCCAGGCGUGGUGGUGCACACCUGUAAUCCCAGCUACUCAGGAGGCUAAGACAGGAGAAUUGCUUGAACCCAGGAGGUGGAGGUUGCAGUGAGCAGAGAUCGUACCAGUGCACUGCAACCUGGGUGACAAAGCAAGACUCUGCCUCAAAAAAAACAAAAAAAAACAAAAAA
rnacentral:lncRNA from 1 species